rnacentral:rRNA from 1 species
AUUGAACGCUGGCGGCAGGCCUAACACAUGCAAGUCGAACGGUAACAGGAAGAAGCUUGCUUCUUUGCUGACGAGUGGCGGACGGGUGAGUAAUGUCUGGGAAACUGCCUGAUGGAGGGGGAUAACUACUGGAAACGGUAGCUAAUACCGCAUAACGUCGCAAGACCAAAGAGGGGGACCUUCGGGCCUCUUGCCAUCGGAUGUGCCCAGAUGGGAUUAGCUAGUAGGUGGGGUAACGGCUCACCUAGGCGACGAUCCCUAGCUGGUCUGAGAGGAUGACCAGCCACACUGGAACUGAGACACGGUCCAGACUCCUACGGGAGGCAGCAGUGGGGGAUAUUGCACAAUGGGCGCAAGCCUGAUGCAGCCAUGCCGCGUGUAUGAAGAAGGCCUUCGGGUUGUAAAGUACUUUCAGCGGGGAGGAAGGGAGUAAAGUUAAUACCUUUACUCAUUGACGUUACCCGCAGAAGAAGCACCGGCUAACUCCGUG